rnacentral:rRNA from 2 species
AGUGAACGCUGGCGGCGUGCUUAACACAUGCAAGUCGAACGAGAACGGGAUAUAGCUUGCUAUAUUUGUCAGCUAAGUGGCGCACGGGUGAGUAAUGUAUAGGUAAUAUGCCUCUUACUAAGGGAUAACAAUUGGAAACGAUUGCUAAUACCUUAUAUGCCUUUAAGACUAAAGUCUGCAAGGGAAAGAUUUAUUGGUAAGAGAUUAGCCUGUAUUGUAUCAGCUAGUUGGUGAGGUAAUGGCUCACCAAGGCUAUGACGCAUAACUGGUUUGAGAGGAUGAUCAGUCACACUGGAACUGAGACACGGUCCAGACUCCUACGGGAGGCAGCAGUGGGGAAUAUUGCACAAUGGACGAAAGUCUGAUGCAGCAACGCCGCGUGGAGGAUGACACAUUUCGGUGCGUAAACUCCUUUUAUAUAGGAAGAUAAUGACGGUACUAUAUGAAUAAGCACCGGCUAACUCCGUG